GACGAACGCUGGCGGCGUGCUUAACACAUGCAAGUCGAACGGAAAGGCCCUGCUUUUGUGGGGUGCUCGAGUGGCGAACGGGUGAGUAACACGUGAGUAACCUGCCCUUGACUUUGGGAUAACUUCAGGAAACUGGGGCUAAUACCGUAUAGGAGCUCCUGCUGCAUGGUGGGGGUUGGAAAGUUUCGGCGGGUGGGGAUGGACUCGCGGCUUAUCAGCUUGUUGGUGGGGUAGUGGCUUACCAAGGCUUUGACGGGUCGGCGGCCUGAGAGGGUGGCCGGCGACAUUGGGCCUGAGGGACGGAGCAGACGGCUACAUUAGGCAGCAGUCGGGAGUCUUGCACAGUGGGCGGGAGCCUGAUGCAACAGCGCCGCGUGCGGGAUGACGUCUUUCGGGUUAUAAACCGCUUUCGGCUGUGACGCAGCGUGUGUGACGGUAAUGGGUAAAGAAGCACCGGCUAACUACGUG
rnacentral:rRNA from 1 species